rnacentral:rRNA from 2 species
CUAGAUAUACACAAAACAUGACAGUCAAUUUUUUCGAGAGUUUGAUCCUGGCUCAGGAUGAACGCUGGCUGUGUGCCUAAUACAUGCAUGUCGAGCGAAGUUCUUUAGAACUUAGCGGCGAAUGGGUGAGUAACACGUACUUAACAUACCUCUUAGAUUGGGAUAACGGUGAGAAAUUAUCGCUAAUACCGGAUACUUAUAUAAGUCGCAUGACUUAUAUAUAAAAGGAGCCUUAAAGCUUCACUAAGAGAUUGGGGUGCGGAACAUUAGCUAGUUGGUAAGGUAAUGGCUUACCAAGGCAAUGAUGUUUAGCGGGGUUGAGAGACUGAUCCGCCACACUGGGACUGAGAUACGGCCCAGACUCCUACGGGAGGCAGCAGUAGGGAAUUUUCCACAAUGGACGAAAGUCUGAUGGAGCGACACAGCGUGCAGGAUGACGGCCUUCGGGUUGUAAACUGCUGUUAUAAGGGAAGAAAAAGCAUUAGAGGAAAUGCUAGUGCCUUGACGGUACCUUGUCAGAAAGCAACGGCUAACUAUGUGCCAGCAGCCGCGGUAAUACAUAGGUUGCAAGCGUUAUCCGGAAUUAUUGGGCGUAAAGCGUCUGUAGGUUGUAUGUUAAGUCUGGCGUGAAAACUUGGGGCUCAACCCCAAAUUGCGUUGGAUACUGGCAUGCUAGAAUUGUGUAGAGGUUAGCGGAAUUCCUAGUGAAGCGGUGAAAUGCGUAGAUAUUAGGAAGAACACCAAUUUGGCGAAGGCAGCUAACUGGGCACAUAUUGACACUGAGAGACGAAAGCGUGGGGAGCAAACAGGAUUAGAUACCCUGGUAGUCCACGCUGUAAACGAUGAUGAUUAGCUGAUAGAGAGGUCUAUCGGCGCAGCUAACGCAUUAAAUCAUCCGCCUGAGUAGUAUGCUCGCAAGAGUGAAACUUAAAGGAAUUGACGGGGAUCCGCACAAGCGGUGGAGCAUGUGGUUUAAUUUGAAGAUACGCGUAGAACCUUACCCACUCUUGACAUCUUCUGCAAAGCUAUAGAGAUAUAGUGGAGGUUAACAGAAUGACAGAUGGUGCAUGGUUGUCGUCAGCUCGUGUCGUGAGAUGUUCGGUUAAGUCCUGCAACGAGCGCAACCCUUGUCCUUAGUUAAUUUUCUAGGGAGACUGCCCGAGUAAUUGGGAGGAAGCUGGGGACGACGUCAAAUCAUCAUGCCUCUUACGAGUGGGGCAACACACGUGCUACAAUGGAUAGUACAAAGAGAAGCAACAUGGUGACAUCAAGCAAAUCUCAAAAAACUAUUCUCAGUUCGGAUUGUAGUCUGCAACUCGACUACAUGAAGUCGGAAUCGCUAGUAAUCGUAGAUCAGCUACGCUACGGUGAAUACGUUCUCGGGUCUUGUACACACCGCCCGUCACACCAUGGGAGCUGGUAAUGCCCGAAGUCGGUUUUGUUAACUACGGAGACAACUGCCUAAGGCAGGGCCGGUGACUGGGGUGAAGUCGUAACAAGGUAUCCCUACGAGAACGUGGGGAUGGAUUACCUCCUUUCUACGGAG